rnacentral:rRNA from 1 species
UACGUAGGCAGCGAGCGUUGUUCGGAGUUACUGGGCGUAAAGGGUGUGUAGGCGGUUCUUUAAGUUUGGUGUGAAAUCUCCCGGCGUCAACUGGGAGGGUGCGCCGAAUACUGAGGGACUAGAGUGCGGGAGAGGAAAGUGGAAUUCCUGGUGUAGCGGUGAAAUGCGUAGAUAUCAGGAGGAACACCGGUGGUGUAGACGGCUUUCUGGACCGUAACUGACGCUGAGACACGAAAGCGUGGGUAGCAAACAGG